UACGUAGGGGCUAGCGUUGUCCGGAAUUAUUGGGCGUAAAGAGCUCGUAGGCGGUUUGUCGCGUCGAAUGUGAAAACCCGGGGCUCAACCCCGGGCCUGCAUUCGAUACGGGCAGACUAGAGUUCGGUAGGGGAGUCUGGAAUUCCUGGUGUAGCGGUGAAAUGCGCAGGAUAUCAGGAGGAACACCGGUGGCGAAGGCGGGUCUCUGGGCCGAUACUGACGCUGAGGAGCGAAAGCGUGGGGAGCGAACAGG
rnacentral:rRNA from 1 species